UGGCUCAGACGGUAAAGCGUCUGCCUACAAUGCAGGAGACCUGGGUUCAAUCCCUG
rfam:TPA: Bos taurus chromosome 22, whole genome shotgun sequence.